ACAGGAGAAGGCAGUGACCUCCUGUGGGGCAAUUUCUCUGGCUUCCUCAUGUGGAAGGCUCAGCUUUGUGAAAACAAGAAAUAGAUUUGCAAACUGGACAAGUGUGACUUCAGUCCUGAUAUGGUUUGGCUGUGUCCCCACCCAAAGCUCACCUUGAAUUGUAAUAAUCCCCAUGUGUCAAGACCGGGGCCAGGUAGAGAUACUCGAAUCAUGGGGAUGGUUCCCCAUACUGUUCUGGUGAUGGUGAAUAAGUCUCAUGAGAUCUGAUGGCUUUAUAAAUGGGAGUUCCUCUGCAAGGGCUCUAUCUCUUGCCUGCCUCCAUGUAAGACGUGAUUUUGCCCCUCAUUCACCUUCCACCAUAAUGGUGAGGCCUUCCCAGCCAUGUGGAACUUUGAGUCCAUUAAACCUCUUUCCUUUAUAAAUUACCCCGUCUUGUAUGUCUUUAUCAGCAGCAUGAGAACAGACUGAUACAAGCCCUCUCCAGCAGGAGACCAGAGGCAAGAGGAAUUUGCUUCCUGUGGUUGACAGCCUCAAGAAUGUCAGACACUAUAUAAACCUGCAGGGUGCCCUACUUCCAAGUCCCUACAGACAUGGGCCUUUUAAAAGUUGCACAGUGGUGAGAAUGUCCAGUUGGAAAGCCUCGUUAGCACAGUGCAGCCCGUCCAUGGCUGAAGUCCUGGGCUUAUCCUGGACCUGCCCUCAUCCUGGACCUGCCCUCCCACGUCCUCCCUCCUGGCUAGCGGCAGCUCCAGCCUUCCAGUCAGGCCCACACCUCACAGUCCCGGGCUUGUCUCUGCAUCCUCUAUCCAGCCCAUCACAGGUCCUGCUGCUUUGCCUUCAGAGAGUGUCCAAGAGUUGACCACUUGUCACCACCCCCACCACUGCCCCCAUCCAAGCCACCAACAUGGUCCUUUUAGAAUGCAAGCCAGGUGCAGUGGCUUAUGCCUGUAAUCCCAGCACUUUGGGAAGCCAAGGUGGGCAGAUCACUUGAGGCUAGGAGUCCAAGAGCAGCCUGGCCAACAUGGUGAACCCCAUCUCUACUAAAAAUACAAAAAUUAGCUGGGCAUGUUGGUAGGCACCUGUUAUCCCAGCUAUUUGGAAGGCUGAGGCAGGAGAAUCGCUUGAACCCAGCUGCAGUGAGCCAAGAUUGCACCAUUGCACGCCAGCCUGGGCAACAAGAGCGAAACUCUGUCUCAAAACAAAACAAAACAAAACAAAACGCCAGGCGCAGUGGCUCACGCCUGUAAUCCCAGCACUUUGGGAGGCCGAGGCAGGUGGAUCACAAGGUCAGGAGAUCAAGACCAUCCUGACCAACAUGGAGAAACCCCAUCUCUACUAAAAAUACAAAAUUAGCUGGGCGUGGUGGCGCAUGCCUGUAAUCCCAGCUACUCAGGAAGCUGAGGCAGGAGAAUUGUUUGAACCUGGGAGGCAGAGGUUGUGGUGAGCUGAGAUCGCGUCACUGCACUCCAGCCUGGGCGACAGAGGGAGACUCCGUCUCAAAAAAAAAAAGAAUAUAAGGCAGACCUUGCCCGGCUCUGACCAACACCCUCCAGGGGCUCCCAUCUCAUUCAGCCAGAACUGGAGUCCUCAGAAUGACUUGCUAAGCCUGCACAUCUGACCCCAGCCACCUUCUGACCUCAUUGUCUUCUUCUCUCCCUCCCCCACCCUCUCUGCUCAGCCACUCUCUGCCUCAGGCCUUGUUAGCUGUCACCAAGAACCUCUCAUGCUAAAUGGAAUGCCCCUGGGUGACUUUUCCCGCACCCUGGCAUCCCCUGCCUCUGGAACACGGCCUCACUCACAGUGGGCUCUGGGGCGCUUGUUGUAUGUUAGAAGCUCUCCCUGUUAAGGCCGCUGUGUGGAAGGGGCAGCCACAUGGUUGCCUCCUCCACCGUUUCUGUCUGCCUCUGAUGGCCCUCCGGCUCCCGACUGCCUGCACAGUCGGGGGGUGGCACAGUGCCUGCAAAUCUAAGCCACCCUCUCCCACUCCCUGAGCAGCUCCUAGCCAAUGACUGGAAAGCCUGGCACCCUUGCUUUCAUCGCAGGCUCUGCUUCUGGGGUACACUCUGAGACAGGAGCUUUCCUCUGUCCUCUCCCGCAAAGAGCCGGUUCAACCUGGGGGUCUGGGACGAUGAGGGACUGAGGUGUCUAGAUACACUCCCCUGUGCGUGGCCCAGGCUGCAUCAUCUGCCCCCACUGCCUGGGCCAAGCCCCUGCCCUGGCUUUUCAUUCCCUUUGGGAAUCUGACACGUUCACGACGCAGGUACACAAGCCUUCCCGGGGCCAGGAUGCUGUAUACACAAGAUAAACGGACUUGGGUCUUAGUCCCAUUCCCCUCGGGUCACGCUCCUCCUCCACCCAGGGUGGCUACAGUCAUGAACCUGACAGGUGUCCUUCUAGUCCAUGCUUUUCUAUUUUACCGCACAUACACCCAGGAACAACAUAUGGCAUUGCUGUGAGGUCUGAAAAUUCAUCCCAAUGCCAUUCUGCAAUCUGCUUUGUUCACAUUUGCGGGGGGCCAACGUUGGUGGAAAUAGGUCUGGUUUAACAGCUGUAACUGCUGCACUGUGCUCCAUACGAUGAAUGGACCGUGGCUUACUGGUCCGUACUCCCUAUAAUGAAUGGACCGUGGCUUACUGGUCCAUACUCCCUACAAUGAAUGGACUGUGGCUUCCUGGUCCAUACUCCCUACAAUGAAUAGACUGUGGCUUCCUGGUCCAUACUCCCUACAAUGAAUAGACUGUGGCUUCCUGGUCCAUACUCCCUGUAAUGAAUGGACCGUGGCUUACUGGUCCGUCUCCCGACAGUGAGGCUGUUUCCAGUUUCUCACAACUGCAGCUGCUCAGCAGCCCUCUGCCCGGAGCACAGCCCCUUCCCCACAGCAGCCUUCCUCCCUGACCCAGAGGCCCAUGUCCUCUUCUUUCGGGGCUCUUGCCUCUGUCUGUAAUCCUCCAGGUGGGAAGACUCCUAGGUUGAGAGCAGGCUCCCAAGGUCACCACUGCAGCCCCAAGCCCGCUCGGCACCAGGCAGGUACUGAGCCUCUUUUGAUUGACAGAUGGACGCAAGAGAAUAAUGGGAGUUGUGCACUAGGCCUUGACCCUGUGCCAGGGACAAGCCAGGAUGGCCUGGGAAAGCCCUGGCACUUGGUGCCCAGGGGGCAGAAGAGCAAGCUGUGAAUAGCUAGACCUGUCCGUGGGGUGGGCCGAGGCCCUGGGGAACUUCUGGACGUGUCAGCCCAAGUCAGCUGUGACCAGACACAGGGGCUACCAGGAAGAGGUCGCCCCUGCCUCCUAACCUAGCAUCGUCACUGGCCUGAGGAGCAGGUCCACUGCUAACAAGUUCACCAUCACUUAGGGAGCCCUCCUCACGCCAGGCACUUCACACCUGGAGCAGGCACCAACCCUUUCUAGAAGACACUGAAGGCAUGCAGCUAGUAAGUGGCAGAGCAGGAUUCCAAAGAGUGCCUGGGUCAUCUGGUUCAGAGAAACGGAUGCCCACGCACCACACCCACCAGUGUCUCUCUCUCCUGUGGCCUCUGCUAGGCCAGAGCCAGGCUCAAGCCCAGCUCAGCCAACGCACAUGCCUGUUUCCUCCUGCCAUGACAGAAUGGGGCAGCACAGCACAGGCUCCACCUGGGAACUGGCAGGAGACAUCUUCCCAGGAACAAGGCCAGGCCCCAGCCCAGCCAGGAGAUUGAAGGUGGUUCAAAACACAGCCCAUCUACAGAAUUCCCCAAACUUUAAUGCUGUGCUCUGAAAAGGGAGGCUGGAGGUUGUGGUGGGACACAGUGUUGCUGACACCUCUGGCCUCCAGCCCUGCAUCCCUAGGAGGUAAAGAGAGACCCUGGUUCCAGCCUGGGAACCAGUGGGUGCCCUGAAGGGAGGGGAGGCCUCAGGGAGUUCGGGACAGGAGUGUGCAUGGUACUGGGCGGCCCAUGGGGGCUCCUGGCCUCUUGGUUCAGGAGCAUCCCUAGAACGACCUCCCAGGCACGAGGAAGGCC
rnacentral:lncRNA from 1 species